GAAAAACAAAAUAUUUUAGGUCUCACGAACAAAAAGGUAUGGACAUUUUUCUCUAUGAAGCUGGUUUCUUAAUACACAAUGACGACGGAAAUACAGGUGGAGGAACCGGUAAAGAUACUGUGCAGUUUGAAAUUGGAUUAGACGAUGCCCAUAUUCCCCUAUACAAGUGAGGGCAAGGGCACACUAUCCAGCCAUGUCCAAAAACAAAACCAAUCACACAAAGGAAAAACCUCAUAUAUAUUAUUUAGAACCAAUGAAUUUACUUCCUCCAUGAUGCACAAAUGACUUCCAUCCACAGGAAAGCAAGACCUGGAGAGAGAGAGGAAAAAAAAUAACUCCCACGAUGCAUGGAUGCAUGUAAAACAUAUCCAGAUCCAGGAUACAAAAUGAACAAGGAUGCCAACAAUGUAUCUAAUAAGUUGACAGUAAAAAACUUGAAACAGCAUAAAAAAUUUAGAAUUAGAAGAGCAUUAUGACAAGCUGGCCCUUUUUAAUCAUAUUUAUAUCUUAAUCCAUUAGUUUUCCCCCAAUUUCCCACGACUUUCAGAAGGGUAAUUUUUUUUUUCAAAUAAAAAAUUUAAUCUCCAUUCACUUUCAGAAACAUUUUAGGAGAACCAGAAACACAUUAAACAGAAGUAAAUAACCAAAAUUGUGAAAAGCAAAAUAACAAUGCACACACCA
rnacentral:misc_RNA from 1 species